GCUCUUCUCCUUCUAAGAUUCUGCAAAUAAUUAUGAGCAUCAUCUAUAUCUUUCACCACAAUCAUUUUAUUCGUUCACGAAAUUGUAACAUGAUAAUCGUUGUUUCAGCGUUCAAUCAUUCGUACAAAUCCCUGAUUCUUCAAUUCGAUUUCGAACUUUACCCAAAUCAUCAUCCAGGAAAAACCCUAGCACUUCAUCCUCGGAACACCCUGUAGAAAAACCCGGAUUUAAAUCCCAAACUGACUCAGAUGAUGAUGAGAACAUAGAUGAAGUCGCACCUUCUUCACCUUUCGGUUCCAUUUCAUCCAAGCCAUUCGCGUCGUUGAUUUAAAAUUUUAGAGAGAAGCUUAAGUUAGAUGAACUUGGAAUGGAGAUCAUGUCGAUCGGAUUGCUAGCUGCAUUAGCUCUUCCUGCUUUUUUGUAGUCUUUUUGGGAGAAUUUGAAUCCGAUUUGCACUUGUUGUAUCAAUUCUUUGCUAGUGUUAUCAUCUUGUGUAAUGACAAUCGAUUUUCAUGCUUUGUUCAUGUGGACGUUACCUAGGUUGAACAAAGAUAAAGCAGUCAUUUCAUGGAAUUUUGAUCCAACUAUGUCGAAAAGGUUCUGGGAGCUUUCUGUUGUGAUUGUAUCGUCCAUUGCUUCUGAGUAAAUCUCCAUUCCGAGUUCAUGAAGAUCUAAAUAUGGAUCUGUAUCGAAUCCUACAUGGCUCUUGAAGACUCUUAAGAACUGGACAAUCCAUUCCUCUUGGGAAUUCGUGAUUCCUUCUAAUUUUCCCUCAGAAACAAUGGGAAAUUGUUCGUUUUAGAAGAGCUCAUUGGUUCUUUAUCUGGAGUAAUUUCCACUAGGUUUCUUCAAUUGACAAUGUUUUCUCAAAAAACAAAAAAAAUUAUCCAAUUCUCAUAUAAGCAUUUGAUGUAUCUAGUUACUCCUUUUAGGCUUUGCUGAAUUGGCUGUUGUUGGCGUUUCCAUAUCAAUAUUCAAUCUGGUAGCAAAAUUGUUCAAUAUUCCUCUACUCAAUAUCACAACCUCAUUUGUUGCUGAAGAAGAAGCAGUAUUAGUCAAGGAUGAUGAUGACUCCACUUUUCUCAGCCAUGAUAGCAUGAGUGGAAGCAAGAAGAAGUUUCUUCCAUCUGUUUCAACUUGUUUAGCCUUAGCUGCUGCUUUUGGGAUUGGGGAAACCAUAACACUUUUCUUUGCAUCAGGAUCACUAUUGAACCAUUGUUGUUGUAACAGAGCUCAAGAAGAAGGGUAGAAAAAAAGAGACGUUGGGGAACAUUAUGGAAGAAGAUAGCAACGGUGGGGAUCUUUAAAAUGAAUUAAGCCAAAAAAACGUUUAUGCAAAAAUGGUCCCUUACAUAUGAAAUGACGGAUAUACCCUCACGUGUAAGGCACAUGAGGGAGUUAACAGAUCCUUUUUAACGGGAGUUAAGUCCGGGGACUAAUUGCACAUACAAACCACUCCAAAAGGAUCAUUAAUCCAAAAAACUCGGGGUUUGGACUAAAACCCCAAAAAUUUGCAUACCAUAGGGACCAUUUUUGCAAUUUUGUCUUUUAAAUAAAGUAAAGAUGAUUAAGUGUUAAGUAAAGUGAAAAAAAUGAAGUAAUCAGCUAGAACAAGUAUAAAUGAUGAAACUUAAGGUCAUAAUUUGUAAUUUCCCAAAACAUCAAAUUUUCAAGGAAAUUAGAUGAUGGAUUAUAUUAUGAAUAAUGGACAAACUUCUAGGGGCUAAAUAUGGUUAUCCCGAAAGUACCACCUAAAGAAAAUUAGACUUCAGUGAGAGGUGUAACUAGGACAAAUUAUGAGGGACCAUUGCUGUAACUUGAGAACCAACUUGAUUCUAAAUACGACUGCUCAUCUUCCUUACGUGACCGAAUCGAUUUUAAAACCGCCGGUUGCCAAAUAUAUUCCAUUUUUUUUAUCGCUCGUCAGAUACAAGUAUAACAGAAACGUCGAUCGACUGCUACGAUAGGUACGUUUGCAAUCAUACAGCAAAAAGGGUCGUGAGUUCUCCGAUUGAACGUCCGCUCAUUCGCAUGAGUGAUUAAGUGUAAGGAUCCACCGAUGAUAAUCAUCAGGGAAUAGCAACUUGCUGAUUCGUAUGCAUGAGGGAGAGAUGAGGAAGGAAAGGAAUCCCGAUCAUCACUUAGCAACCUUCAUCAGUGGCUACGUACAAGAGAAACUGAUAACAGAGUUGUCGUAGGUCUGCUUGUUGUUCCCGUAAUACCAACAUAAGGAUAAUAUGAGAGAGAGAGAGAGAGAGAGAGAGAGAGAGAGAGAGAUCAUCAUGAAUGUAAAAUAUUUGUUAAGGAUAAUACAUAAGACUGGUACGAAGAUGGUAGAGUGUAUACAACACCAUAAAACCAAAAGUCAGUAAAGGCAAGUUUGUGAUGGGUACUGGUCUAGGGA